rnacentral:rRNA from 1 species
CAGAUUGAACGCUGGCGGCAGGCCUAACACAUGCAAGUCGAACGGAAACAUGUCUAGCUUGCUAGAUGAUGUCGAGUGGCGGACGGGUGAGUAAUGCUUGGGAACUUGCCUUUGCGAGGGGGAUAACAGUUGGAAACGACUGCUAAUACCGCAUAAUGUCUUCGGACCAAACAGGGCUUCGGCUCUGGCGCAAAGAGAGGCCCAAGUGAGAUUAGCUAGUUGGUGAGGUAAAGGCUCACCAAGGCAACGAUCUCUAGCUGUUCUGAGAGGAAGAUCAGCCACACUGGGACUGAGACACGGCCCAGACUCCUACGGGAGGCAGCAGUGGGGAAUAUUGGACAAUGGGCGCAAGCCUGAUCCAGCCAUGCCGCGUGAGUGAUGAAGGCCCUAGGGUUGUAAAACUCUUUCAGUGGUGAAGA